UGGGGAAUCUUCCGCAAUGGACGAAAGUCUGACGGAGCAACGCCGCGUGAGUGAUGUCGGCCUUCGGGUUGUAAAGCUCUGUUAAUCGGGACGAAUGGUUCUUGUGCGAAUAGUGCAAGGAUUUGACGGUACCGGAAUAGAAAGCCACGGCUAACUACGUGCCAGCAGCCGCGGUAAUACGUAGGUGGCAAGCGUUGUCCGGAAUUAUUGGGCGUAAAGCGCGCGCAGGCGGAUUGGUCAGUCUGUCUUAAAAGUUCGGGGCUUAACCCCGUGAUGGGAUGGAAACUGCCAAUCUAGAGUAUCGGAGAGGAAAGUGGAAUUCCUAGUGUAGCGGUGAAAUGCGUAGAUAUUAGGAAGAACACCAGUGGCGAAGGCGACUUUCUGGACGAAAACUGACGCUGAGGCGCGAAAGCCAGGGGAGCGAACGGG
rnacentral:rRNA from 1 species